rnacentral:rRNA from 1 species
AUGCGGCGACGGCGACGGCGACAACGAGUGGAGGAGAUGAAGCGGAGGCAACUCGAGGGCCUCCUAGGGGGCCUGGUCCAGUUCUCCCCCGCCGCCUCCUCUGCUCGAUUUGGCCUCCAAAAAAAGGCAGGCGAUGCUCUGAUUCAGCUGUAUACUCAUUUCAUCUCUGAUUUUGAGGUCAAGAUCAACCUUCUUAAAUCUUCUCACUUCGCGGUAGUAGUUUCACGCCAGUAUUCAGAUAAAGAUGCUGGUAUAAGCUAUCUCGAAGGCGUAAUUUCGAAGCUGCGUGAUACCAAGGAAUCACGGGUUGAAGAGCCCAUUCUGUAUGUGAAGAUGCAGAUUGCAAGUUUUCUUCUUGAGAAAGGGAAUCAAAAGGAGUGUAAGAAACUGGUAGACGAGGGUAAAACCACUUUGGAUAGCAUGGGCGAUGUUGAUCCUUCAGUACAUUCAACCUAUUAUUCAUUAUGUUCUCAGUACCAUAAAGUGUGUCAAGACAAUUCUGAAUUUUAUAAAAAUGCUCUUCUCUAUCUUGCAUACACAACAGUGGAGUCACUUUUAGAACCAUUCAGACAGAACCUGGCAUUUGACCUCUCACUUGCUGCUUUAUUGGGUGACAACAUAUACAACAUCGGGGAGUUGCUUGCCCAUCCAAUUGUCCAUCCAUCCAUGUAUGCCUUUCCUUGUAUGCCUGAAUUUUUUCAAGGGAUCGGUGGCAGCGAGAUCCACGAGGAGCACGAGGCGGUGCAGCAAGAUGGACAAAGACGGUGUGGCAGCGGGGUGGGCAAGAAGAUGAGGGGAUUGAGGAGAGGGUGGAGGCAACGACAGUUUGCAACAAAUAAACAUCUAUCAUUGGUUGCAGUUGCAGGUUUGAGGACAACUAGCUGCAGGUCAUGUUCCAGAACCCCCCCUUUCAAUCUUCUCUCCCCAUGGACUGAAUAUGAGGAAAAUUGUGCUGACGAUCUUUUCUAUACUGAGCAAUGGUAG